UGAAGUCUCUCAUAAGCCUGCCCUGCUUCAUGUCUCAUGCUAGCAUACCAGCUGAAAAAGUUUUAUUGCAGAAAUUGGGCUAAACCUUAUAUUAAAGAUGCUAAAGAAGUUUCCAGGUAUAUUGAGAUGAUUUCUUUGGAGCAAUUCUUGACAACAUUUGUAGUUAAGUCCUUUAGAAUGGAAGAAUGUAUUUCACUAAUUUUUGUAUACAUUUCUUGUUUUGUAUUUAGUGAUAAAGGAAUCUGAAUUGGGCAUAAAUUAUGUUGUAAUAUGAUUUCUUAAGCCUAGACUAG